UACGUAGGAGGCAAGCGUUGUCCGGAAUUACUGGGCGUAAAGCGCGUGUAGGUGGUGGGACAAGUCUGCUGUGAAAGCGCCUGGCUUAACCGGGCGAGGUCGGCGGAAACUGUCGCACUCGAGGACGGUAGAGGGGGUGGAAUUCCCGGUGUAGUGGUGAAAUGCGUAGAGAUCGGGAGGAACACCAGUGGCGAAGGCGGCCCUCUGGGCCGGGCCUGACGCUGAGACGCGAGGGCGUGGGGAGCGAACGGG
rnacentral:rRNA from 1 species